UGUAAAAGAUGAAAGAAGAAAUAAAAAGAACUGUCUCUCUCUUUUCUUUCUCUCUUUCUAUCUUUCUCUCUCUCUCUCUCUCACACACACUUUUUCUC
rnacentral:ribozyme from 1 species